rnacentral:rRNA from 1 species
GACGAACGCUGGCGGCGUGCUUAACACAUGCAAGUCGAACGGAAAGGCCCUGCUUUUGUGGGGUGCUCGAGUGGCGAACGGGUGAGUAACACGUGAGUAACCUGCCCUUGACUUUGGGAUAACUUCAGGAAACUGGGGCUAAUACCGGAUAGGAGCUCCUGCUGCAUGGUGGGGGUUGGAAAGUUUCGGCGGUUGGGGAUGGACUCGCGGCUUAUCAGCUUGUUGGUGGGGUAGUGGCUUACCAAGGCUUUGACGGGUAGCCGGCCUGAGAGGGUGACCGGCCACAUUGGGACUGAGAUACGGCCCAGACUCCUACGGGAGGCAGCAGUGGGGAAUAAUGGACAAUGGGGGGAAGCCUGAUGCAGCAACGCCGCGUGCGGGAUGACGGCCUUCGGGUUGUAAACCGCUUUCGCCUAUGACGAAGCGUGAGGGACGGUAAUGGGUAAAGAAGCAACGGCUAACUACGUG